ACAGAAAACUUUCCAUGAACACACAAAAAUGCUUUCCAAAUAUGUUUGGAAUGCAUUCAGAAGUCUGCUUUCUCUCAGUAAAUUUAAAUUAUGCAAGGGCAUCAGAACAUGUGAUGAGGCAAAUGAAGAAAGAACAUUGGAUGGAGAAGACUGCUGCUAAACAGCCAAGAAAAUUUUCGAUUGGAAAAACAACUUGGUGGAUGAGUUUUGCUUCAUGUUCACAAUCCAGUUGAGGUCAAAAAGAGUUUCCCCCCAUGGAACAUUGUGUCUUACCAACAUUUUGGAAUGUGACAGAGCGGUUCGAGGAGGAGGAAAUGCAUAAUCUGCUGUUGCCAAAUCUGGAUAUAAAACCUACAAUUUCAAGAACAAAAUUUAAAAGCAAGCUGUAUGUUGGCAAAAUGUUUCUAGAUUUGUUUUUAAAACAUUUUUUACAUUUUAAAU